GUGUAAGUAUGAACAAAUUCAGACUGUGAAACUGCGAAUGGCUCAUUAAAUCAGUUAUAGUUUGUUUGAUGGUAUCUACUACUCGGAUAACCGUAGUAAUUCUAGAGCUGAUACGUGCAACAAACCCCGACUUCUGGAAGGGAUGAAUUUAUUGGAUAAAAGGUCGACGCGAUGAUUCAUGAUAACUCGACGGAUCGCACGGCCAUCAUGCCGGGGACGCAUCAUUCAAAUUUCUUCCCUAUCCACUUUCGAUGGUAGGAUAGUGGCCUACCAUGGUGGUGAUGGGUGACGGAG
rnacentral:ncRNA from 1 species